CUUGUACUGGGGGACAACAGUUGGAAACGACUGCUAAUACCGCAUAAGCGCACAGCUUCGCAUGAAGCAGUGUGAAAAACUCCGGUGGUACAAGAUGGACCCGCGUCUGAUUAGCUGGUUGGUGAGGUAACGGCCCACCAAGGCGACGAUCAGUAGCCGGCCUGAGAGGGUGAACGGCCACAUUGGGACUGAGACACGGCCCAAACUCCUACGGGAGGCAGCAGUGGGGAAUAUUGCACAAUGGGGGAAACCCUGAUGCAGCAACGCCGCGUGAGUGAAGAAGUAUUUCGGUAUGUAAAGCUCUAUCAGCAGGAAAGAAAAUGACGGUACCUGACUAAGAAGCCCCGGCUAACUACGUGCCAGCAGCCGCGGUAAUACGUAGGGGGCAAGCGUUAUCCGGAUUUACUGGGUGUAAAGGGAGCGUAGACGGUUUUGCAAGUCUGAAGUGAAAGCCCGGGGCUUAACCCCGGGACUGCUUUGGAAACUGUAGGACUAGAGUGCAGGAGAGGUAAGUGGAAUUCCUAGUGUAGCGGUGAAAUGCGUAGAUAUUAGGAGGAACACCAGUGGCGAAGGCGGCUUACUGGACUGUAACUGACGUUGAGGCUCGAAAGCGUGGGGAGCAA
rnacentral:rRNA from 1 species